rnacentral:lncRNA from 1 species
UUCCCUUGCCAUCCUCGUCGCCGAAAACCAACCGGAACACCGGCGAUCGAAGCUUGAAACCCGCGACUGUUUCACUUUGCUCCGCCGGGAUUUUCGCCGGUUUUGGGUGACACCACCGGUUGGAUUUUGUUCCCCACGACUCCCUCUUCCAUUUCCGACCAUCCAUAGGCACCGAGAGUCACUGUUUUGCCGCCGGUCGAUUGUUGGAAUU